rnacentral:lncRNA from 1 species
AGGGACAUCUGGGUUCUUUCCAGCUUCUGGCUAUUAUAAAUAAGGGUGCUAUGAACAUAGUGGAGCAUGUGUUCUUAUUACCAGUUAGAACAUCUUCUGGAUAUACGCCCAGGAGAGGUAUUGUGGGAUCCUCCGGUAGUACUAUGUCCAGUUUUCUGAGAAACCACCAGACUGAUUUCCAGAGUGGUUGUACAAGCCUGCAAUCCUACCAACAAUGGAAGAGUGUUCAUCUUUCUCCACAUCCUCACCAACAUCUGUUGUCACCUGAAUUUUUGGUCUUAGCCAUUCUGACUGCUGUGAGGUGGAAUCUCAGGGUUGUUUUGAUUUGCAUUUCCCUGAUGAUUAAGGACCACAAGGUAUUUCUGAAUCUGAAAACUGUAUAUCCAAGAGCAGCCAUCUGAUGAGAAUUUGGGCUUCUAAUCUACAGGAUGCUAACUAGACACAGCUUCUUGGGCCCACUAAACUGGGAUUGGAUUUUGACUGACAUUCUCGCUGAAGAAGAGAAGACAGUAGAGAGGGGCCUUCUUUCCUCCAACACUAAGCAAACCCUAAGAUGAGCUAUCCAAGGCUAGAAAGCAGCCUACAAGUGGUGAUAAAACUGCCUGCAGAGUGUAGGUGGUACCAGUGUGUGAUGGCAAUCCAUUUUUGUGGAAAAUACCAGAAGACAAUCACAAUUUUAGCUUAACAGAUAAGAAGUCAAGAGAUGAUUAACAGAGUGUAGAGUCUGAUCUCAGGCUCUAGAGAUCGCGAGGUCUGGCAAAGAAGGGUAAACUUGGAACUGAAAGCCAGUAGAUGAUAACUGGUACAUAAAACGCUCUCCUUUUUCCCCAUGUAGUCUGCACGCUAUACAUAUGCAUAUACAUAAGUACAUCAUGGUACUUAACUGUUGAGAUGAAUCUUUUCUUUCAGUGUGUCAUUAUGUGUUAAAAGACCAAGAAUUAUAGAAGACAUUGUGACACAAUAUGGCUCAAAUGAUCUAUACUUCUCAAAUGAUAAGAACAUUAUAGUGUUUUCUUCUUAGCUAUUUACAUUUACUCUUAAAGGUAAUUUUUUUUUCCCUUUCCUCUGGAGUCUUUGAGGCAGACAGGU